rnacentral:rRNA from 1 species
UACGUAGGGUGCGAGCGUUGUCCGGAAUUAUUGGGCGUAAAGAGCUCGUAGGCGGUGUGUCACGUCGGCCGUGAAAACCUGGGGCUUAACUCUGGGCGUGCGGUCGAUACGGGCAUCACUAGAGUUCGGCAGGGGAGACUGGAAUUCCUGGUGUAGCGGUGAAAUGCGUAGAUAUCAGGAGGAACACCGGUGGCGAAGGCGGGUCUCUGGGCCGAUACUGACGCUGAGGAGCGAAAGCAUGGGUAGCGAACAGG